CAACAACAUAAACCUUCACCGAGAAAAAAUAUUCUCAAGUCAGUUAUAACUUACGGAAAAAAGUUUAAAAUGGAAACAACUUCUCCGAUUUGACAGGAUCUCACUCUCCCAGGCUGGAGUGCCGUGACAUCAUCGUAGCUCAUAGCAAUCUCAAACUUCUGGGCUCAAGGGCUCCUGCUUCCUCAACCUCCCAAAUAGUUGGGACUACAGCUCUCUAGUAUUGAAGAGAAUAGCAGAAGCUUCUAGAAACAAGAGCUCUUCGAAAAGGAAGGAUUUGAGACAUAGGGAAAUCAUUGGGUCUUGUUGUGAAUCAUCAAAAAUAUGAACCAAGAAAAAAUUGUGGCUUCCAUUAUCCAUUUCAAUUCUACCUC